rnacentral:rRNA from 1 species
GUUGAUUAUGGCUCAGGAUGAACGCUAGCGGCAGGCUAACACAUGCAAGUCGAGGGGCAGCGCGGAGUAGCAAUACUCUGGCGGCGACCGGCGAAAGGGUGAGUAACGCGUGAGCAACAUGCCCGAUAGUGGAGGAUAGUCGAUGGAAACGUCGUGUAAUACUCCGUAACAUACGGGACCGCAUGAUUCUGUAUUAAUAGAUUUAUUGCUAUCGGAUUGGCUCGCGUACCAUUAGCUGGUUGGCGGGGUAACGGCCCACCAAGGCGACGAUGGUUAGGGGUUCUGAGAGGAAGGUCCCCCACAUUGGAACUGAGACACGGUCCAGACUCCUACGGGAGGCAGCAGUGAGGAAUAUUGGACAAUGGCCGGAAGGCUGAUCCAGCCAUGCCGCGUGCCGGGAAGACGGCCCUAUGGGUUGUAAACCGCUUUUGUUGGGGAGCAAUAAGGAGCACGUGUGCUUCGAUGAGAGUACCCAGCGAAUAAGCAUCGGCUAACUCCGUGCCAGCAGCGGC